rnacentral:rRNA from 1 species
CCGGUUCCGGGGGGUAUCUUCGUCUGAUAAUUGAAAUGAUGGGAAUUUAAACCUCUUCCAGAGUAUCAAUUGGAGGGCAAGUCUGGUGCCAGCAGCCGCGGUAAUUCCAGCUCCAAUAGCGUAUAUUAAAAUUGUUGCAGUUAAAAAGCUCGUAGUUGAAUUUCUGCUGCAUUGCUUGUGUCCCUCUGGGGUCUGUGCAUGUGGCUUUUUUCGGACGGAGUUUCUUUGUCUGAAUGUUUACUUUGAGAAAAUUAGAGUGCUCAAAGCAGGCUUUCGCCUUGAAUAGUUUAGCAUGGAAUAAUAAAGUAGGACUUUGGUUCUAUUUUGUUGGUUUUAGGUACCAAAGUAAUGGUUAAUAGGAACAGUUGGGGGCAUUCGUAUUUAACUGUCAGAGGUGAAAUUCUUAGA